rnacentral:tRNA from 1 species
UCCAGGGUAGCCUAGUGGACAUGGCACCUGCCCGGUAAGCAGAAGAUUGUGGGUUCGAUUCCCGCCCCUGGAC